AGGGUGUAGGGCGGAUGCCUUGGCACUAGGAGCCGAUGAAAGACGUGAUAAGCUGCGAUAAGCUUCGGGGAGUGGCACAUACACUUUGAUCCGGAGAUUUCUGAAUGAGGAAACUCACUUGGAGUAAUGUCCAAGUAUCCAUAGGUGAAUACAUAGCCUAUGGAGGGGAACUCAGGGAACUGAAACAUCUAAGUACCUGAAGGAAGAGAAAGAAAUUCGAUUCCGCUAGUAGCGGCGAGCGAACGCGGAAGAGCCCAAACCAAGUCAGUUUACUGAUUUGGGGUUGCGGACAUAUCUUAAGGAAAGGUUAUUGCGAGUAGAAUAGGUCUGGAAAGACCAACCAUAGAGGGUAAUAGUCCCGUAUACAAAGCCAAGAAAGUUCUUGAUAUGAUCCAGAGUACCACGAGACACGUGAAACCUUGUGGGAAGCAGGGGGGACCACCCCCCAAGGCUAAAUACUACCUAGUGACCGAUAGCGAAUAGUACCGUGAGGGAAAGGUGAAAAGAACCCCGGGAGGGGAGUGAAAUAGAACCUGAAACCCUACACUUACAAGCUGUGGGAGCGCAUUAUUCGCGUGACCGCGUACUUUUUGUAGAACGGGCCAACGAGUUACGUUAUGUGGCAAGGUUAAGCACUUAAGGUGUGGAGCCGAAGCGAAAGCGAGUCUUAACUGGGCGCCAUAGUCACAUGACGUAGACCCGAAACCGGGCGACCUACCCAUGAGCAGGAUGAAGCGAAAGUAAAAUUUCGUGGAGGUCCGAACCCACGUACGUUGAAAAGUGCGGGGAUGACUUGUGGGUAGCGGUGAAAUUCCAAUCGAGCUCGGAGAUAGCUGGUUCUCCCCGAAAUAGCUUUAGGGCUAGCCUUGAAAUUUAGAGAUGUGGAGGUAGAGCACUGAAUGUCCUAGGGGGUAUUGCACUUACCGAAGACUAUCAAACUCCGAAUGCCAUUAUCUUUUGUUCAGGAGUCAGACUAUGGGUGAUAAGGUUCAUAGUCGAAAGGGAAAGAGCCCAGACCGUCAGCUAAGGUCCCUAAAUGUAUGUUAAGUGGUAAAGGAUGUGGGAUUGCACAGACAACCAGGAUGUUGGCUUAGAAGCAGCCACUCAUUUAAAGAGUGCGUAAUAGCUCACUGGUCGAGUGAUCCUGCGCCGAAGAUUUCCGGGGCUAAAACAUACUACCGAAGCUACGGCAUCAUAUGAUGAUGGGUAGGGGAGCUUCCCAUGCAGGCUGAAGCGAUACCGUAAGGAGUCGUGGACAGUAUGGGAGAGAGAAUGUUGGCAUGAGUAGCGAGAUGAGGGUGAGAAUCCCUCAGGCCGUAAACCCAAGGUUUCCAGGGGAAGGUUCGUCCUCCCUGGGUUAGUCGGGACCUAAGCUCAGGCCGAAAGGCGUAGGCGAUGGACAACAGGUUGAGAUUCCUGUACUACCGAUAAUCGUUUGAGAGAAGGGAUGACACAGUAGGAUAAGCUGAGCACACUGUUGGUUAUGUGUGUCUAAGCGUUGAGGCAGACUAGAUAGGCAAAUCCGUUUAGUCAAUGCUGGGGCGCGAUGGGGAGCGAAACUAAGUAGCGAAGCAGCUGAUUUCACACUGUCGAGAAAAGUCUCUAUCGAGAUUAAAGGUACCCGUACCGCAAACCGACACAGGUGGGUGAGGAGAGUAUCCUAAGGCCAGCGAGAGAACUGUUGUUAAGGAACUCGGCAAAAUGACCCCGUAACUUAGGGAUAAGGGGUGCCCCAGCAAUGGGGCCGCAGAGAAUUGGCCCAAGCGACUGUUUACCAAAAACAUAGGUUUCUGCUAAGUCGCAAGACGAUGUAUAGGAGCUGACGCCUGCCCGGUGCUGGAAGGUUAAGGGGAUCUGUUAGAGCAAUCGAAGCAGUGAUCUUAAGCCCCAGUAAACGGCGGCCGUAACUAUAACGGUCCUAAGGUAGCGAAAUUCCUUGUCGGGUAAGUUCCGACGGCGGCCGUAACUAUAACGGUCCUAAGGUAGCGAAAUUCCUUGUCGGGUAAGUUCCGACCCGCACGAAAGGCGUAACGAUUUGGGCACUGUCUCAACAACAGACUCGGUGAAAUUGUAAUCCCGGUGAAGAUGCCGGGUACCUGCGACAGGACGGAAAGACCCCAUGGAGCUUUACUGUAGCUUGACAUUGGGUUUCGAUACUACAUGUACAGGAUAGGUGGGAGACUAAGAAAUCAGGGCGUCAGUUUUGAUGGAGUCACCCUUGGGAUACCACCCUUGUAGUAUUGGGACUCUAACCAUAGGCCAUGAAUCUGGUCUUGGGACACUGUCUGGUGGGCAGUUUGACUGGGGCGGUCGCCUCCCAAAAGGUAACGGAGGCGCUCAAAGGUUCCCUCAGUACGGUCGGAAAUCGUACGAAGAGUGUAAAGGCAAAAGGGAGCUUGAUUGCAAGACAUACAGGUCGAGCAAGGUAGAAAUACGGACUUAGUGAUCCGGUGGUUCUGAGUGGAAGGGCCAUCGCUCAACGGAUAAAAGCUACCCUGGGGAUAACAGGCUUAUCUCCCCCAAGAGUCCACAUCGACGGGGAGGUUUGGCACCUCGAUGU
rnacentral:rRNA from 1 species